AAUGUCAAGUCGAACGGUUGGUAGCAAUACCAAUAGUGGCGCACGGGUGCGUAACGCGUAACCAACCUACCCGAAUCUGGGGGAUAGCCCGCCGAAAGGCGGAUUAAUACCGCAUAAAACUGCAGCACGGCAUCGUGUAACAGUUAAAGAUUUAUUGGAUUCGGAUGGGGUUGCGUGCCAUUAGCUAGUUGGCGGGGUAACGGCCCACCAAGGCGACGAUGGCUAGGGGAGCUGAGAGGCUGGUCCCCCACACGGGCACUGAGAUACGGGCCCGACUCCUACGGGAGGCAGCAGUAGGGAAUAUUGGGCAAUGGACGAGAGUCUGACCCAGCCAUGCCGCGUGCAGGAUGAAGGCUUUCUGAGUCGUAAACUGCUUUUACCAGGGAAAAAAAAAGGGGAUGCGUCCUCUACUGACGGUACCUGGUGAAUAAGCACCGGCUAACUCCGUGCCAGCAGCCGCGGUAAUACGGAGGGUGCAAGCGUUGUCCGGAUUUAUUGGGUUUAAAGGGUGCGUAGGCGGCUGAUUAAGUCUGGGGUGAAAGCCCGUUGCUCAACAACGGAACUGCCCUGGAAACUGGUUAGCUUGAGUACAGACGAGGGUGGCGGAAUGGAUACUGUAGCGGUGAAAUGCAUAGAUAGUAUCCAGAACCCCGAUUGCGA
rnacentral:rRNA from 1 species